AUACCUUUCUCGGCCUUUUGGCUAAGAUCAAGUGUAGUAUCUGUUCUUAUCAGUUUAAUAUCUGAUACGUGGGCCAUCGGCCCACAUGAUAUUAAAUUUAUUUUUUUAGGGAGAGGGCCCACUUCAAUAGCUUGCUAUUGGGGCCUUCAAGCGUCGCCCUUCCGUUGCACUACUGCUUGGGCCUGGCGCACCCCUC
rfam:Cucumis melo, WGS project CAJI01000000 data, contig: 15250